GACGAACGCUGGCGGCGUGCUUAACACAUGCAAGUCGAACGGAAAGGCCCUGCGUUUGUGGGGUGCUCGAGUGGCGAAAGGGUGAGUAACACGUGAGUAACCUGCCCUUGACUUUGGGAUAACUUCAGGAAACUGGGGCUAAUACCGGAUAGGAGCUCCUGCUGCAUGGUGGGGGUUGGAAAGUUUCGGCGGUUGGGGAUGGACUCGCGGCUUAUCAGCUUGUUGGUGGGGUAGUGGCUUACCAAGGCUUUGACGGGCAGCCGGCCUGAGAGGGUGACCGGCCACAGUGGGACUGAGAUACGGCCCAGACUCCUACGGGAGGCAGCAGUGGGGAAUAUUGCACAAGGGGCGGAAGCCUGAUGCAGCAGCGCCGCGUGCGGGAUGACGGCCUUCGGGUUGUAAACCGCUUUCGCCUGUGACGAAGCGUGAGUGACGGUAAUGGGUAAAGAAGCACCGGCUAACUACGUG
rnacentral:rRNA from 1 species